UCGACGAGGUGGAGGCGCUCACUGAGGAGAUCGAAGAGGAGGGCCAAACACUCGAAGAAGUCCGGUGGAUCAAGGAGCUCCUCUCCCACCAUCAGGAUGAGUCCGAUAACAUCUUGUUCGAGUCACUGAGGAGGCUUCAGCUAAUGGAACUCACCGUUGAUGUCCUCAAGGCGACCGAGAUUGGAAGC